UCCCUGGUGGUCCAGUGGUUAAGAAUCUGCCUUGCAAUGCAGGGGACACAGGUUCAAUCCCUGGCCAGGGAA
rnacentral:tRNA from 1 species